rnacentral:rRNA from 1 species
CCCUUAGAUGUUCUGGGCUGCACGCGCGCUACACUGAUGCGCUCAACGAGUUUAUAACCUUGUCCGGCAGGAUUGGGUAAUCUUUUUAAAACGCAUCGUGAUGGGGAUAGAUUAUUGCAAUUAUUAAUCUUCAACGAGGAAUUCCUAGUAAGCGCGAGUCAUCAGCUCGUGCUGAUUACGUCCCUGCCCUUUGUACACACCGCCCGUCGCUACUACCGAUUGAACGGUUUAGUGAGGGCCUCGGAUUGGUCUCGGCCCGCUCUUUACCGGGCGGCGCCGUUGGUCGAGAAGACGCUCGAACUUGAUCGUUUAGAGGAAGUAAAAGUCGUAACA